GGGUUGUGAGGUUAAGCGACUAAGCGUACACGGUGGAUGCCCUGGCAGUCAGAGGCGAUGAAGGGCGUGCUAAUCUGCGAUAAGCGCCGGUAAGGUGAUAUGAACCGUUAUAACCGGCGAUACCCGAAUGGGGAAACCCAGUGUGAUUCGUCACACUAUCAUUAACUGAAUCCAUAGGUUAAUGAGGCGAACCGGGGGAACUGAAACAUCUAAGUACCCCGAGGAAAAGAAAUCAACCGAGAUUCCCCCAGUAGCGGCGAGCGAACGGGGAGGAGCCCAGAGCCUGAAUCAGCAUGUGUGUUAGUGGAAGCGUCUGGAAAGGCGCGCGAUACAGGGUGACAGCCCCGUACACAAAAGCGCAUGUGCUGUGAGCUCGAUGAGUAGGGCGGGACACGUGGUAUCCUGUCUGAAUAUGGGGGGACCAUCCUCCAAGGCUAAAUACUCCUGACUGACCGAUAGUGAACCAGUACCGUGAGGGAAAGGCGAAAAGAACCCCGGCGAGGGGAGUGAAAAAGAACCUGAAACCGUGUACGUACAAGCAGUGGGAGCACCCUUCGGGGUGUGACUGCGUACCUUUUGUAUAAUGGGUCAGCGACUUAUAUUCUGUAGCAAGGUUAACCGUAUAGGGGAGC
rnacentral:rRNA from 1 species